rnacentral:rRNA from 1 species
CCUACGGGAGACAGCAGUGAGGAAUAUUGGUCAAUGGGCGGGAGCCUGAACCAGCCAAGUCGCGUGAGGGACGAAGGUCCUAUGGAUUGUAAACUUCUUUUAUAUGGGAAUAAAACAGGGUAUGCAUACCCUCUUGUAUGUCCCAUAUCAAUAAGGAUCGGCUAACUCCGUGCCAGCAGCCGCGGUAAUAAGGAGGAUCCGAGCGUUAUCCGGAUUUAUUGGGUUUAAAGGGAGCGUAGGUGGAUUGUUAAGUCAGUUGUGAAAGUUUGCGGCUCAACCGUAAAAUUGCAGUUGAAACUGGCAGUCUUGAGUACAGUAGAGGUGGGCGGAAUUCGUGGUGUAGCGGUGAAAUGCUUAGAUAUCACGAAGAACUCCGAUGGCGAAGGCAGCUCACUGGACUGCAACUGACACUGAGGCGCGAAAGUGUGGGUAGCAAACAGGAUUAGAUACCCGGGUAGUC